rnacentral:rRNA from 1 species
AGGUUGGCUUAGAAGCAGCCAUCCUUUAAAGAAAGCGUAACAGCUCACUGGUCUAGUGAUUCUGCGCGGAAAAUAUAACGGGGCUAAGAUGUACACCGAAGCUUUAGAUUCAAUUUUUAAUUGAGUGGUAGGAGAGCGUUCUAUUCAGCGUAGAAGAUGUACCGGUAAGGAGCGUUGGAGCGGAUAGAAGUGAGCAUGCAGGCAUGAGUAGCGAUAAUUGAGGUGAGAAUCCUCAACGCCGAAAACCCAAGGUUUCCUACGCGAUGCUCGUCAUCGUAGGGUUAGUCGGGUCCUAAGUCGAGUCCGAAAGGGGUAGACGAUGGCAAAUUGGUUAAUAUUCCAAUACCAACAUAUAAGCGCGAUGUGGGGACGCAUAGAGUUAGUCGAGCUCACUGAUGGAAUAGUGGGUCGAAGGAUGUAGGUUGUUAAGUAGGCAAAUCCGCUUAACGUUAGACCGAGAUCUUACAGGCUCUUGACACUCUUCGGAGGAGAUGGAGAAUCGAUGAUACUGUCGUGCCAAGAAAAGCCACUAAGUUUAUUAUAUGUUGCCCGUACCGUAAACCGACACAGGUGGGUGGGAUGAGUAUUCUAAGGCGCGUGGAAGAACCCUCUUUAAGGAACUCUGCAAAAUAGCACCGUAUCUUCGGUAUAAGGUGUGCCUACUUUGGUAUAUGAACUUGCUUCAAAAAGCUAGAGAGGUUGCAACAAAGAGUCCCUCCCGACUGUUUACCAAAAACACAGCACUUUGCUAACACGUAAGUGGAUGUAUAAGGUGUGACGCCUGCCCGGUGCUCGAAGGUUAAUUGAUGAUGUCAGCGCAAGCGAAGCAUUUGAUCGAAGCCCGAGUAAACGGCGGCCGUAACUAUAACGGUCCUAAGGUAGCGAAAUUCCUUGUCAGUUAAAUACUGACCUGCAUGAAUGGCGUAACGAGAUGGGAGCUGUCUCAAAGAGGGAUCCAGUGAAAUUGUAGUGGAGGUGAAAAUUCCUCCUACCCGCGGAAAGACGGAAAGACCCCGUGCACCUUUACUACAGCUUGACACUGUAGCUUGGAUAUUCAUGUGCAGGAUAGGUGGGAGGCUAUGAUGACUAGACGCAAGUAGAGUCGGAGCCAUCCUUGAGAUACCACCCUUGAAUAUUUGAGUUACUAACUGCGAUGAGUUAACCUCAUUCAGGACAAUGUCUGGUGGGUAGUUUGACUGGGGCGGUCGCCUCCUAAAAAGUAACGGAGGCGUUCAAAGGUUCCCUCAGCACGGUCGGAAAUCGUGCGUAGAGUGCAAUGGCAUUAAGCGAGCUUG